ACACACUUAACACACCGACACUCAAUCUACACACUUUACACACACAGACACUUAAUCUACACACUUUACACACACAGCCACUCAUUCUACACACUUUACACACACAGACGCUCAAUCUAAACACUUUACACACACAGGCACUCAAUCUAAACACUUCACACACACAGGCAAUCAUGCUCCCACACACUCAUUCAGACACACUCUGCUGUCUCCCUCCCCUGACUCCUGGUGAAUACAGCAGGAUCACUAAAUAGCACUUUUGUUAGGAAAGAAUUCUGAAGACAGACACUCAAUCUACACACUUUACACACACACUCAAUCUACACACUUUACACACACACGCACUCAAUCUACACACUUUACACACUGACACUCAAUCUACACACAACACACAGACACUCAAUCUACACACUUUACAC